AGGUCUAAUACCGGAUAUCACAGCUUUUCGCAUGGAGAGUUGUUGAAAGUUCCGGCGGUGCAGGAUGAACCCGCGGCCUAUCAGCUUGUUGGUGGGGUAAUGGCCUACCAAGGCGACGACGGGUAGCCGGCCUGAGAGGGUGACCGGCCACACUGGGACUGAGACACGGCCCAGACUCCUACGGGAGGCAGCAGUGGGGAAUAUUGCACAAUGGGCGAAAGCCUGAUGCAGCGACGCCGCGUGAGGGAUGACGGCCUUCGGGUUGUAAACCUCUUUCGCCAGGGACGAAGCGCAAGUGACGGUACCUGGAUAAGAAGCACCGGCUAACUACGUGCCAGCAGCCGCGGUAAUACGUAGGGUGCAAGCGUUGUCCGGAUUUAUUGGGCGUAAAGAGCUCGUAGGCGGUUUGUCGCGUCGGCUGUGAAAUCUGGAGGCUUAACCUUCAGCGUGCAGUCGAUACGGGCAGACUUGAGUUCGGUA
rnacentral:rRNA from 1 species